UUUUGUUAAAAUUAAAAUAUAUAAAUUCUAAAAAUAAUUAAAUUUUACACGCCUCUACCAUCGUCAUUUUCCAAAAAUAGUUCGAAUGAGAAAACAAAAAGAAUAAUAGACUACCCCUUUGGUGACCUUCUUCAACCAUGGAACCCAGAAGGGAAAACGAAAUCAAAAUCAAUCAUAGUGAGCAAAAGGAUGGAGAUAAACCAAAGAGCUCUAACCUAAAAGGCUAAAAAUAAAUCAUUUAUGUACAAGCCCAAUAAUGUCCGGCCCACUAAAAAAACCAAAUUAACAGCCCAAUUGACCCAAUACACUACCCAACCUAAACCCUAGCCCAAUACACCUAAAACAGCAGCAACGAACUUGGCUCCGCAACAGCCUCACCCUCCCACGCCUCCGUGCGAGCGCGCCUCUUCAACGGCCACCAAACCUGCGAGAACAUAGCAACAAACUCUAACGAAACAGAAUGGCAAAGGGAAACAUAGUAGAUUUUUUUUUUAUUUUUUCCUUUUCUUUUCCAUUUCGGCUAUUUAAAGCCGUGAAAUCUGUAACAAAAGGAGGGGAGACAAAUUUUGUACCGACGAAAUUAAGGAAAAUAAAAAGAAAAUCAGAAAAAACAAAAAGUUUCUUUGAAGGUGAUUAUUUUGUUUUUCUUUUUACUUUUACUGUCUUUUUUUGAUGUUCUUCUUUGUUUUUUAAAACAAAUAAAUGAAGAGGGAGAGAAAAGAGACUUACCGGCGUUGAGUAAUCGGAGGACCUUCACUUCGUCGUCAUUGGAGUUGGAGGCUCCAUCUCCAGAGGCGGCGGCGGCGGCGCAAAAGAAACCAUAGCAGAGGGUUUCUCUGCUAUUUUUUUAAAAAAAUCAAAGAGAAAAUUGAAGUUUUUUGAGGGAACUUUGGUUUUUAUAAUGGCUGCGAAACGACGCCGUUUAAGGCCUGCUUCAGUGGCCUCAAAACGGCGUUGUACAGCCUAUACCCAUGCGACCCGACCCAUAAACCUGUUUGGAUCCGCGCGUCUGGCUUCAAAGGGGAAAUUGCACGUUUGGCCCCUCCCUCUUGCAGCGCGUUUCAGCUAAAUCCUGUUUUUCUUUUUUUAAAAUUGGGUCGCAGAUUUUAUUUUUGUUGCAAUUUGAUACCCCGCUGUGUGGCAUUUUGGGAGGGAAGGAAUAAUUUCCUUUUAGUCCCCCAUGGUUGCUCGCGUUCAAAUUGAUCCUUUUUUUUAAUAUUGUUCUAAAUUCGCCCCAUUUUUUCGUUUUUAAUUCAAUUUAACCCAUUUUUAGUUUUUCAUCACAGUUAUGCGGUACCAUUGUUUUAUCUUAUUUCAUUUAUUGUUAUUAUUAACAUUAUUAUUAUUAUUUCAUUCAUACAUACGCAUUUCUUGUCAUAUAAUAUACAUGCGCAUAUUUUUAAUAUGUGCAUACAUAUCUAGGCCUUCAUAAAUGCAUGCAUAUUUACACAUACGUUUUUCUUUAUAUUUUUCUUUAUUUUUAUUUUCUUAGUUUUUAUAUACUUAUUAUAUAUACUUAUUCAUUUUAUUUUUCCUAUUUUGUAAAUCUAUAUACAUAUACAUACAUUUAAAAAAAAGUUUUUAAUACAUACAUAUAUUUUUUGCAUAUACAAACAUUUUUUUUUACUUUUGUAAAUAUGAAUAUACGUAUUUUUUUAUAUUAUCCUUCAUAGAUUUUUUUUUACAAACAUGUGUAUACAUGCAUACCUACAUAUUUUAAUACAUAUUUUAAUACAUUCAUUUUCUAUAGUAUAAAUAUAUAUAUUUUGUUUUUUUAAAUUAUUAUAAAUAUUUUUUAUACACAUUCUAUUAUUUUAUAUGCAUAUUGUACAUAUACAUAUAUUUAUAUACACACAUAUUUUCAUGAUAUACCCAUACAUUUAUAUUUUGUAAAUACAUACACAUUUAUAAUUUAAAUUAAAGUAUGUGUUUCAUGUUGUGUAUUAACAUUUUAUCUUGCUUUUAAAGAAAAUGUAUGUUUUCAUUAAAGCAUGAAAAUCAUCAUAUUUUAUGAAUUUUCAAAAUAUUUGGCAUUCGUGAUUCUCGAGAAAGAUCGUGUCCUAACUUACUGGAUUGCGGUUAUUUUUCGACGAAUUUAGAAAGCUAAGUAUUUGUUUUGUAAUAAAUCCGCAAAUUUCAAAUAAAAGCUUAUUCUCGGGAAUUCAAAAAUGUUGGGUCCUAACUUACUGGUCAUGACAUUUUCUUCUCGAAAUAAAAAUUUUCAAAAGCAAAAGGAAAUAUUCAGGUAUUUUGAGAAUUUAAAAACAUUGUGCCCUAACUCACUGGGUGUGGUGUUUUAUUUCUUUGAAAUACGAAUGUCUUAUCGUUUUAAUUCAUUCAUGAAAUAAAAAAGUUUCAUUUUAAAAUCUUUUCAAGUUUUCGACACCAAGGCAUAAAUAAAAUCAAUUUGGUACUAAUUUUGGGCGUUACGAGGGUGCUAAUCCUUCCUCGUGCGUAACUGACUCCCGAACCUGCUUUCUCAAAUUUCGCAGACCAAAAUUAUUUUUAAGGUGCGCCGAUCACACCUUAAUAAAGGAUCGGUGGCGACGCCAAUUUUAGUUUUUAUUUUUAAGUCGAAACUAAAAUUUUUGUUUUCAAAAAACGGUUUCGACAGCUUGGCGACUCCACUGGGGACUUUGAGAGUCGAGCCAUAAAUUGAUUAUAUUUGUCUUUGUGUCAAAAAUCAAAAGUUUUAAAAAAGUUUCAUGAGUUCCCUUCGCAUUCAUUGAUUUUUCAUCUUGGUACGUUGGCAACUUUGCAUUUGCAUUCUGCAUUUUACCCUUUAAGUGGGUGCAAGAAACUAGUCCUUCGUGAGGUUUUCACCUCCGUGCAGGGUAGUGGACCGCUUCCGGGAUAUAUCCGUACCUAUGUCUUCGUGAGAUUUUCAUCUCCGUGCAGCCAUAGGGAAAUGUAUCCCCCUGAACUGAACUCGAUCCACAUGAGCCUAUAAUGGGUGAGGAUCGAGGAAUCUGCUGGUUCGAGUACCCUUACUCUAGAAACUAAGCCUCAUAUAGUGAGCCUUAGGAACCCACCCUAGGUAGAGCUACACUAAACCUUAGUAGAUAUCUGAAUAGGAUUUUUUCUAUUUCUUGGUUAUAUUUUAUGUUUAUAUGAUACUGACCUUUUUGUGUUUUGUUUUGAUUGCAUGACAUGACAUUACAUUUUCAUCUUAAAAAAAAAGAGGUGUUGAUUCAUGUUCAGUUGCUAAAUAGAGAGCUUGUCAUAAGAAAAUGGGUUUCUUGAUAAAGUGGAUGACAAUAUGGUUGUCCGAAUAUGGUCCAAGAACUCGUGAUAAGAGAAGGAUGAUAAUUUAAUGGAGGACUACACGACCAUGGCUCCGUUGCCCAAGGAUUCAAGAUGACAAAGAUUAUUCGAGAGCUGUUGAACCUUCUUAAAGAGAGGCCAACGAGCAUCGCGAGGAUGAGUGAACAACAAGUUGUGACCCGGAUCGAGCAAAAAGAGAUAGAAGAGACAUCUUUUUUUGAAGAGUUCGUGAGAUUUAUCUUAACGCUUGAAUGAAGAAGAGGAUCGAACGUCUCCGCCUAUGAGGGCAAGGCCAUAUAAAUAUCCAUUUUAUGUAAAGAGAUUUGUUUUCUAGUAAAGUUUUCUAAAUGGGAAUUGAAUCAGAAUCAGCAUCUCUUUAUGCAUUUAUUGCAUGCAUUCGCAUCACAUGACAUCAUACGCAUUAAAGUCCAUUAAAAGAUCCUAAUUGAUUAAAAUCAUUGCUCAGUUAACCUGGAAACCAACCAACUAACCAAGCACCGUUACGGCACCCGAGUAAAGAUUAAAGAUAUGGAUCAGAGGUUGGAAAAACUCGAACAGUGUCAGAAGGAGAUGCAGGACCGACUUCAGCUACAAGUGCAGGAGCGGUUAGACAAGAUGAAACAAGAGAUGUCUGAGAAGAUACGAGAAUCCCAAGAAGAUAUAGUGGUAAAGUUAACCCAACUGAUCACUAAGGGAAGUGAUAAAGGAAAGGGCCCCGUGGCAAAUGUCGAUGAGGGAAAUGAUGAUGAACCUCUCAAUCCACCAGGUUUCACCCCUCCAUAUAUGCGAACUCAAGCUGAAUAUCCGUACAAACCCAUUGUCACAAUCAGGCCUCAGCAAUCCCAGGCCAGUGCUUCGAACUUUCAAGCUAGAUUGGGCUCUAACCCCGAAAACUACCCUGUUAACUCUGCCAUUCCCGACUUCAAUGAAGUGGCUGAAAAAGAAAGAAUAAAGGAGGAGCUAUCGAAACAGUUAGAGGAAAUGUGCAAGUGGCUCGAGGAGAAGUUUAGGGCAAUGGAGGUCGCUGAAAGUUAUCAAUGUAUUGUCGCCAAAGAACUGAGUUUAGUGCCGGAUUUGGUACUCCCCCAUAAGUUUAAGAUGCCAGAAUUCGAAAAGUAUAAUGGGACAAGUUGCCCAGAAGCUUAUAUCACCAUGUUCUGCAAACGAAUGGCGGGAUAUGUUAACAACGACUAACUCUUGAUACAUUGUUUCCAAGACAGCCUUGUAGGGGCAGCAUCUAAGUGGUACAAUCAGCUGAGCCGUACCACGAUUGGUUCAUGGAGGGACUUGGCACAAAUAUUCAUGAAAUAGUAUAGUCAUGUGACGGACAUGGCUCCUGAUAGAAUCACCCUUCAAAACAUGGAGAAGAAGCCGAGUGAAAGCUUUAGGCAAUAUGCACAAAGAUGGAGGGAAGUCGCAGUCCAAGUCCAGCCACCGCUCUUGGAGAAAGAAAUGACCAUGCUAUUUAUUAACACACUGAAAGCCCCAUUCAUUACGCAUAUGUUAGGAAAUGCUACAAAAAGCUUUUCUGACAUAAUUAUGAAUGGUGAAAUGAUCGAAAAUGCGAUAAGAAGUGGGAAAAUUGAUAUAGAGGAGAGUAACAAGAGGUCAGUCUCAAAAAGAAGAGAAAAUGAGGUGAACAACACGGGUUACUCUAAAUCAGUUACUGUUCAGCCAAGAAAGGUGGUUGGUAAUCAACAAAAUCCAUCGAGGCAAGAUUCUGGCAUAAAGACUGAAAAGUUCCAGUUUACACCAAUCCCAGUACCGUAUAAGGAACUGUAUCAAAAUUUGUUUGAUGCACAUGUUGUUUCCCCUUUUCAUGUGAAGCCUCUACAACCUCCGUAUCCCGAAUGGUAUGAUGCGAACACACAAUGUGACUACCACGCGGGAAUUACGGGACACUCGAUUGAGAAUUGCACUGCCUUCAAGAAGCAAGUUGAAAGACUUAUCAACAUGGGUAUUAUCAAGUUUGGUGACUCGUCUAGCACAGGAAAUCCGCUACCCAAUCAUGAUUGAGGAUGGAGGGACUGCAAUGUAUGAAGAAGUGGUGAGAAAUUUGCACAUCGAUGCCAUAUAUGCAGACACAAUUUAAAGGGUCAUUGUUAGAUAUUUGCCUUAGAGGUGUUCUAAAUAAUGAGACUGCGGAGGAAACCCCUGAAGUAUUUAGAGUCUGUUAGAGUAAUGUUCAGAACACACUUGUUGCUUUCAGCCUAGAAGCAAUAAGAAUUUCUUUGUGAAAUAGGCUCACGUCUGAACAUUAUUAUUUUAAUGAAAUACAUUAUGGCAAUCAUCUUUGAGCAAAUGUUCUUUCAUUCUUUACGUUUUUUUUCAUUUUUUGGAUUUUUUUCUGCCAAACCAUUCAUUCAUAUUAUUCAUACAUUCUUUUGUAUAUUCUUGGAUACCUACUAUGGGUCCUCAGAUAUCAAUGUCAUGAGUGACGCUGUUACAGACUCAAAAUUUCCUUUUGAGUGAGACAUGUGUUUAGAGGGAUCUCAUGACUUUGAAGAUGACAUAGAUUGUAGCUUAUCUUCAGACUUGAGGAGGGUGAUAGAAUAAGAGGAUAGACAGAUCCUACAUCACAAUGAAUUAUCAGAAAUUGUGAGCUUGGUGAAGAUUGGAAUUGACAUGAUCACAAAGACGAGGCGAGACCUUAUAGAGCUACCCCAGGAAUUCAAUGAUGUCUUCACAUGGUCAUACCCAGAUAUGCUCGGGUUAAGCACUAGCUUGUAAUCUGAAUAACAGCAUGAUGUCAGAAAUGGGUAGUAGGUUCAACAUCGAUGCUAUGAACGAUGCAGUAAACUUUCUUUGCUGGGGCAAUAUCCUCCUCUUUGGCUUAUCAUAGCUUUACUCAUUGAAGUCAAAUUGUCAUUUCUCUAUAUUUUAUCCUAAGAGGAAGACCCGAAGGUUCGUCCCAAAGAAUUUCACAAGAGGGAACUAGUGUUGAAAAAGAUCCUUCCUAUACAAAAGGAUUUUAGAGGAAGAUAGAGGCCAAAUUAGAAGGGUCCAUAUGUUAUAAAAAAAGCCUUUUCUGGAGAAGCUUUGAUCUUGAGUGAGAUGGAUGGUAAAAAUUUACAAAGUCCUGUAAACUCAGAUUCAGUCAGGAAAUACUCUGCUUAAAAAAGGUGGGACCAAGGUGAAAGCCUAUAAAGGGCGCUUUGAGUCAAAAAAAAAAGACCAGGGUGAAACCCUACAAAGGGAGCCUUGAGUAAAAAAAAAUGGAGAGGCUAAGGUGAAAACUCGCAAAGGGCGCCUUAGACCAAAGGGGAUUUGAGUUGAAAACCCGAAAAGGGCGGUUCAAAUAUUGAUCAGAAUGGGGUAUGAAGUAAUCAGAGCAGCUCAAAUACUGAUCAGAGCGGGGCAUGCAGUGGUCUUACUAUACCUGAAUCAACAGGAAAGGGUAGGCGACAUUUUGGGGGCAUCGACAAAGUACUGUAGAUCUCCUAAACACAUGUUAAAGUCAGAAUGGUCUUCAGAAAGACUGUACAGAGAAGUUCAGGCUGCGAUAUCUGGGGCACCUAAUCCUUAUACUAUUUUUGUUAUUCUUGGAAUACUUCAUUCAUUUCCAAGAUAUGCAUUCCUAAAUCAAUUUCCUUGUUAUCCAUCUUUAUUAUCCUUGAUAAUUUAUUCAUUUCGAGCUAUGCUCAGAGCCAAUUCUAUUCUUAUCCAUGAUCUUUUUGCAAGCAUGUUGCAUUAGAAUAAUGGUUAAUAGACUAAUAAAAUUUUCACAAGGGAAGUUUUGCAUAUUACUCUAGAAGUUUCUAAAUAAUACAGGAACCUGAAACAGGACUAUUGUUUAGAACGCACCAGGUUGGAAAUCUAAUAGGGAAAAGUCUAAAUUCAGACUAUCUCUUUAAAUUUUGUUGCCCAAAACAUCGAUUGGACAAAAUGGCAAUGUGUCAUGUUGGUGACAAGGAUUCAAUGAACAAGCAGGCAAUGAUCACCGAAUAAUAAUAAGAAGUUGUUCUUGGAGAGGAACAUUCUUCAUUUGUGCAUGAGAAUUUGGUAUGACACCCUGGGAAUGGUGUAAGGGACCAAAGAGUUUCAUAUCCUGUAUCCUUGAAUUGUGAUAGUAGGGGAUUGAGAAAAGACCAAAUCUUUUUACUCUUGGGUGACAACGGGAGAAAGAUGGUAUAAAUUUUGCAUCCCAAUGGAUCAAACUUGGAGGUUUACAGUGGGGGGCAAUCUGGUCAAGUGUUUCUUUCGAGACGCCAGCUGAGCAAGAGGGUGUUAUAGCACAUUAGCGAUGAAACUUAAAAUAAACUGUGAGUAAUGAUAACCUAAGUGAAAAUGAGGGAUCAUACUCGAAAAAAUGACAUUCUACAUUCAUUCAAAUGUCAUUCAUACACGCCUAGUUAGGAGCAUUUGAUUCAUUUGAUCAUGACAUCCUAAUCAUUAGGCAUAGUUAGGUUCAUAAAGUGAAUUAUACAGGUCAUGUUCCCCAGAGAGCAGAUCGGUGAAAUCAUAAAGCCUUAUCUCCCUGAACAACAGUUGAGCAGGUUGAGAAGCAGCAGGUCUUGUCUUCCUAUAUUGGUAGCGAAGUAGAUAAAUAUACAGAUCUCACCUUCCCAUACUGGUGGCGAAGAAGAUCGAAGGAAAAAGCAGAUCUUGUCUUCAUGUACUGGCGUGAAGUAGAUCAAAUAUACAGAUCUCGCCUUCCCAUACUGGUGGCGAAACAGAUCGAAGGAAAAAGUAGAUCUUGUCUUCAUGUACUGGCAUGAAGUAGAUCAAAUAUACAGAUCUCGCCUUCCCAUACUGGUGGCGAAGCAGAUCGAAAGAAAAAGUAGAUCUUGUCUUUAUGUACUAACGUGAAGUAGAUCAAAGAUACAGAUCUCGCCUUCCCAUACUAGUGGCGAAGCAGAUCGAAGGAAAAAACAGAUCUUGUCUUCAUGUACUGGCGUGAAGUAGAUCAAAGAUAACAGAUCUCGCCUUCCCAUAUUGGUGGCGAAGCAGAUCGAAAGAAAGUAGAUAUUGUCUUCAUGUAUCAGCGUGAAGUAGAUCAAAGUCAACAGAUCUUGUCUCUCCAUACUGGUGGUGGAGUAGAUCAAAGAAAGCAGAUCUUGCCUUCAUGUAUCGGCGUGAAGUAGAUCAAAGUCAACAGAUCUUGUCUCCCCAUACUGGUGGUGGAGUAGAUCAAAGAAAACAGAUCUUGUCUUCAUGUAUUGGCGUGAAGUAGAUCAAAGAAACAGAUCUUGUCUCCCCAUACUGGUGGUGGAGUAGGUCGAAGAAAAUAGAUCGUGUCUUCAUGUACUGGCGUGAAGUAGAUCAAAGAUAGUAGGUCCUGUCUUCCUAUAUUGGUAGCAAAGUGGGUCGAAUAUACAUCUUCCCAUACCGGUGGCAAAGUAGAUUGAAGAUUACAGAUUUUGACUCCCUAAGCAGCAGUGGGGCAGAUCAAAGAUGGUGAAUUUUACCUCCCUGUGGUUACAGUGGAGUACAUUGAAGCCAGAAAUUCUACUUCCCUGGGCAGCAGUGAAGUAGAUUAAAAACCACAAGAUCUUAUCUAGCUGAAGUUGCAGAGAGCAGAUCGCAGCAAAUCUUAUCUCCCUGAAGUUGCAGUGGAGUAGACAAAGCCAAUAAUCCUAUCUCCCUGAAGUUACAGUGGAGCAGACAAAAAUAAUCGAUCCUAUCUCCUUGGGGUUGCAAUGGAGUGGAUUAAAACCGCAGAUCUCAUCUCUCUAAAGUUGCAGUAGAGCAGAUCGCGUCAGAUUUAUCUUUAAGUUGUGGCAGAACAAGUUGAAGUUAUAAGUCUUAUCUCCCUGACGUUGCUAUGGAGCAGAUUAAAGAUAGCAAAUUUUAUUCUUGUGAGAAGCUACAAUGUACGAAUCCUAUCUCCCUGACAUUACAGUGGAGUAGAUUGAAACGCUAGUUCCUGUACCUCUGAAGAUGCAGUAGGAAGGAAUGAUGCUACCUAAAGAAGAGAAGCACUGAAGAAAUUGAGGCUUAGUAGGACCGGGCAAUUGGGCCUUGUAGUCUUUGCUCUAUUCCCGUUACACGACAAUGAGCAAAGAGGGGCAGCUGCACAAGCCCAAUAAUGUCCGGCCCACUAAAAAAACCAAAUUAACAGCUCAAUUGACCCAAUACACUACCCAACCUAAACCCUAGCCCAAUACACCUAAAACAGCAGCAGCGAACUUGGCGCCGCAACAGCCUCACCCUCCCACGCCUCCACGAUUGUCGCAGCACGGCCCUCCGUGCGAGCGCGCCUCUUCAACAGCCACCAAACCUGCGAGAACAUAGCAACAAACGCUAACGAAAUAGAAUGGCAAAGGGAAACAUAGUAGAUUUUUUUUUCCUUUUCUUUUCCAUUUCGGCUAUUUAAAGCCGUGAAAUCUGUAACAAAAGGAGGGGAGACAAAUUUUGUACUGACGAAAUUAAGGAAAAUAAAAAGAAAAUCAGAAAAAACAAAAAGUUUCUUUGAAGGUGAUUAUUUUGUUUUUCUUUUUACUUUUACUGUCUUUUUUUGAUGUUCUUCUUUGUUUUUUAAAACGAAUAAAUGAAGAGGGAGAGAAAAGAGACUUACCGGCGUUGAGUAAUCGGAGGACCUUCACUUCGUC
rnacentral:lncRNA from 1 species